rnacentral:rRNA from 1 species
UACGGGGGGGGCAAGCGUUGUUCGGAAUUACUGGGCGUAAAGGGAGCGUAGGCGGGCUUCUAAGUUAGGUGUUUAAUCCCAGGGCCCAACCCUGGUCAGGCACCUAAAACUGGGAGUCUUGAAUAGUGGAGAGGACGAUGGAAUUGGGGGUGUAGCGGUGGAAUGCGUAGAGAUCCCCAAGAACACCAGUUGCGAAGGCGGUCGUCUGGACACAUAUUGACGCUGAGGCUCGAAAGCAUGGGGAGCAAACAGG